rnacentral:rRNA from 1 species
CCUACGUGAUGCAGCAGUGGGGAAUAUUGGACAAUGGGCGAAAGCCUGAUCCAGCCAUGCCGCGUGUGUGAAGAAGGCCUUCGGGUUGUAAAGCACUUUCAGUGGGGAAGAAAGCCUUGGGGCUAAUACCCUCGAGGAAGGACAUCACCCACAGAAGAAGCACCGGCUAACUCCGUGCCAGCAGCCGCGGUAAUACGGAGGGUGCGAGCGUUAAUCGGAAUUACUGGGCGUAAAGCGCGCGUAGGCGGUCUGAUAAGCCGGUUGUGAAAGCCCCGGGCUCAACCUGGGAACGGCAUCCGGAACUGUCAGGCUAGAGUGCAGGAGAGGAAGGUAGAAUUCCCGGUGUAGCGGUGAAAUGCGUAGAGAUCGGGAGGAAUACCAGUGGCGAAGGCGGCCUUCUGGACUGACACUGACGCUGAGGUGCGAAAGCGUGGGUAGCAAACAGGAUUAGAUACCCCUGUAGUC